GGAGGUGACGAUGUCGGAUUUAUUGGGCGUAAGCGAGCGCAGGCGGUUUUUUAGGUCUGAUGUGAAAGCCUUCGGCUUAACCGGAGAAGUGCAUCGGAAACCGGGAGACUUGAGUGCAGAAGAGGACAGUGGAACUCCAUGUGUAGCGGUGAAAUGCGUAGAUAUAUGGAAGAACACCAGUGGCGAAGGCGGCUGUCUGGUCUGUAACUGACGCUGAGGCUCGAAAGCAUGGGUAGCGAACAGGAUUAGAUACCCUGGUAGUCCAUGCCGUAAACGAUGAGUGCUAAGUGUUGGAGGGUUUCCGCCCUUCAGUGCUGCAGCUAACGCAUUAAGCACUCCGCCUGGGGAGUACGACCGCAAGGUUGAAACUCAAAGGAAUUGACGGGGGCCCGCACAAGCGGUGGAGCAUGUGGUUUAAUUCGAUGCUACGCGAAGAACCUUACCAGGUCUUGACAUCUUCUGCCAACCUAAGAGAUUAGGCGUUCCCUUCGGGGACAGAAUGACAGGUGGUGCAUGGUUGUCGUCAGCUCGUGUCGUGAGAUGUUGGGUUAAGUCCCGCAACGAGCGCAACCCUUAUUGUUAGUUGCCAGCAUUCAGUUGGGCACUCUAGCAAGACUGCCGGUGACAAACCGGAGGAAGGUGGGGGAUGACGUCAAAUCAUCAUGCCCCUUAUGACCUGGGCUACACACGUGCUACAAUGGACGGUACAACGAGUCGCGAAACCGCGAGGUCAAGCUAAUCUCUUAAAGCCGUUCUCAGUUCGGAUUGUAGGCUGCAACUCGCCUACAUGAAGUUGGAAUCGCUAGUAAUCGUGGAUCAGCAUGCCACGGUGAAUACGUUCCCGGGCCUUGUACACACCGCCCGUCACACCAUGAAGAGUUUGUAACACCCAAAGCCCGGUGAGGUAACCUUCGGGGACCAGCCGUCUAAGGUGGGACAGAUGAUUAAGGGUGAAUCACAAAAGGGGGGGGCAAAAAAAA
rnacentral:rRNA from 1 species